rnacentral:rRNA from 1 species
UACGAAGGGGGCUAGCGUUGCUCGGAAUCACUGGGCGUAAAGGGUGCGUAGGCGGGUCUUUAAGUCAGGGGUGAAAUCCUGGAGCUCAACUCCAGAACUGCCUUUGAUACUGAGGAUCUCGAGUUCGGGAGAGGUGAGUGGAACUGCGAGUGUAGAGGUGAAAUUCGUAGAUAUUCGCAAGAACACCAGUGGCGAAGGCGGCUCACUGGCCCGAUACUGACGCUGAGGCACGAAAGCGUGGGGAGCAAACAGGGA